AUUGAACGCUGGCGGCAUGCCUUACACAUGCAAGUCGAACGGUAACGGGCCUUCGGGUGCCGACGAGUGGCGCACGGGUGAGUAAUACAUCGGAACGUGCCCGAUCUUGGGGGAUAACGAGGCGAAAGCUUUGCUAAUACCGCAUACGAUCUACGUAUGAAAGCAGGGGACCGCAAGGCCUUGCGCGGACGGAGCGGCCGAUGGCAGAUUAGGUAGUUGGUGGGAUAAAAGCUUACCAAGCCGACGAUCUGUAGCUGGUCUGAGAGGAUGAUCAGCCACACUGGGACUGAGACACGGCCCAGACUCCUACGGGAGGCAGCAGUGGGGAAUUUUGGACAAUGGGCGCAAGCCUGAUCCAGCCAUGCCGCGUGCAGGAUGAAGGCCUUCGGGUUGUAAACUGCUUUUGUACGGAACGAAAAGCCUUCUUUUAAUACAGGAGGGUCAUGACGGUACCGUAAGAAUAAGCACCGGCUAACUACGUG
rnacentral:rRNA from 1 species